GCCACAUGAAGUAUGAAGAGAGAGGACGGGGUCUGGAGGCACAAAGAGAGAACACUCACCAUAGACAGGCAAGAAGGGGAUAGGCUGGGGACCUACAAAGUGAGGAAUGAAUCAGAAACUCAAUCGGAAUUACUAGGAAGUUCUAGCCAAGAGAAGAAAGACACAACCAAGAGGAGGGAAAUUCCCAAAAUGUUCUUGGAACAGAAAUGGGUCCCAGGUCACAUGCUAUAAAUCAGUCAACCUCAGAAGGGAAGACAGACUGCUUCGCAAGUCAGCUGACUACAGCUGGAAAUGGAAAGGUGUGGCUGACAAGAAAAUCCACGAUGGGUGAUUUGGAAAGUGGCCAUCUUUCAUCAAUCUCUCUCCCUUUUGGUAAGAAGUCUGUCCUCCGGCGGGGAAAUUUCUAAAGAUCUUCACUCUCGCAGUGGGAAAGAGCUGUUGGUUUCAGAAAAGCACUGUGGGGAAGGGUACGCGAAGUGAUACUAACACUGGAAGGAAACUACUUUUUGAAAAUAAUAAUUUAAACUACUUUGAAAUAUGUUCCACACAUUUUUUAUUCAUUGUAAAACUUAACCCUUACAACCAUUCCCCAGCUGGGCAUUUCAGAUGUGGACGUUGAGGCUGAGUUAAAUGUCCCGCUCAGGACCACACAGUUGGUAAGCAGCUAUCACAGGGCAAACUAAUGCCUUUCCCACUCCACCACUGUGAUUCUCUGGAAGAGUUUUGUUAUUUUUAAAUUUUGAAAGUGACUAGGUACUUUUUUUCUGCAGUAAUCAUGGAACAUAAUGUUAGAGAUACAGAUAUGGCUUAGUCAUUUACAAAAACAACAGGACGUUUGUACUGAAACCGCGGUGGUAUUUGCUGAAAAAUGCUUAAGAACUGCAACUUUGCAUAUUGCUGUCAUCUGCUUUUUUAAAUUUGGAAAAACAAAAUGAUGGAAUUGUCUCCCCAAGAGCAGCAAAGACCUUUCCUGAAAAGGUUUGGGUUGUUCUUGAACUCCCUGAGAGCAUCAAAUCACCCACAAAUCUUGUUAUAAAUACACAUGCCUGGUGUUUCCAUUUUCUGGGAUAAUAGACCCUUUGACAGGGCCCAGACUCCUGAGAUGAUACUGCUGCUUAGAGCAGGGAAAGUCAAACCUGGAUUAUCACAAUCACUGGGAGAGAAUUUUUAAAAUUCACUUCCCUGGGGCUAACUUAUUAGAAACUCUGGAGUCAGUCUGGAGAACGUCUACAUUUAAAGUUACCCUGGAGCCAGGUGUGGUGGGUGGCACAUACCUGAAAUCCUAGCAGCACAGGGGAAGCUGAGGCAGGAGAAUUUUGAGUUCACCCUGGGCUACAGAGCAAGACCCUGUCUCAAAAACAGAAAUAAAAAAACCAAAAGAAACAAAAACAAAAAAGCUACCCUGGUAAUUUUGGUCAAUGGUUGCUACAGGACCCUGGUCUGAAAUGAACUCUGGGUGAGUUGUAGGCUGCAAAGCCAUCUGCAUCAUUUAGGGAGAUGGCAUUUUUAUGUUUUUGAUUUUGGGGGGGGGUUGGUACCAGGGAUCGAACUUGGGAACUUGCGCUUGCAAGGCAGGUGCUGGGACCACUGACCUAAAUCCCCAGCCCCAUAGCUGGCAUUUUUAGAUGGAGCUUUAUUAUAAUCAGAUUCAACUAAGCUCUACUGUGAAGAAUGUGAGCUGUAAGAAGAGUAAGUACAUGUGUGUCCUAUUUAUUUCACUUAAGAGGGCCUUGAUAUGCAUCCAUUUAGCUAUAAAUGACUCUAGUUUCUCAUUCUUUAUGGCUGAGUAGUACUCCAUUUUAUUAAAAAAACCCACAUCUUUAUCCAGUUUCCAGUUGAUGGGCACUUGGGCUGCUUCCAAGCUUUAGCUAUUACAAACUGUGCUGCUAUGAACAUGGGCACACAUAUAUCGCCGUGGUAGGAUUCUUUUAAUUCUUUGGGGAAGAUCCCCAGCAGGGGGAUAGCUGGGUCAAAUGGGACUUCUAGCCCUAGUUCUUUGAGGUAUCUCCAUAUGGAUUUCCACAGUGGUUGCACCAGUCUGCACUCCCACCAACAAUGGAGAAGGGUUCCUUUCUCUCCACACCCCCGCCAGCAUGUUAUUGGUUCUUGAUAGCAGCCAUUCUUUCUGGAGUGAGGUGGAAUCUGUGUUGUUUUCAUCUGCAUCUCUCGAAU
rnacentral:lncRNA from 1 species